AGUAACGCGUGAGGAACCUGCCUCAAAGAGGGGGACAACAGUUGGAAACGACUGCUAAUACCGCAUAAGCCCACAGCUCGGCAUCGAGCAGAGGGAAAAGGAGCAAUCCGCUUUGAGAUGGCCUCGCGUCCGAUUAGCUAGUUGGUGAGGUAAUGGUCCACCAAGGCGACGAUCGGUAGCCGGACUGAGAGGGUGACCGGCCACAUUGGGACUGAGACACGGCCCAA
rnacentral:rRNA from 1 species